rnacentral:rRNA from 1 species
UACGUAGGUGGCGAGCGUUGUCCGGAUUUACUGGGCGUAAAGGGAGCGUAGGCGGACUUUUAAGUGAGAUGUGAAAUACCCGGGCUCAACUUGGGUGCUGCAUUUCAAACUGGAAGUCUAGAGUGCAGGAGAGGAGAAUGGAAUUCCAUGUGUAGCGGUGAAAUGCGUAGAGAUAUGGAGGAACACCAGUGGCGAAGGCGACUCUCUGGUCUGUAACUGACGCUGAGGCUCGAAAGCGUGGGGAGCAAACAGGAUUAGAUA